UACGGAGGGUGCAAGCGUUAUCCGGAUUCACUGGGUUUAAAGGGUGCGUAGGAGGGCAGGUAAGUCAGUGGUGAAAUCCCCGAGCUUAACUUGGGACUGCCGUUGAUACUAUCUGUCUUGAAUACCGUGGAGGUGAGCGGAAUAUGUCAUGUAGCGGUGAAAUGCUUAGAUAUGACAUAGAACACCAAUUGCGAAGGCAGCUCGCUACACGAAUAUUGACUCUGAGGCACGAAAGCGUGGGGAUCAAACAGGA
rnacentral:rRNA from 1 species